rnacentral:lncRNA from 1 species
CUUAAAGCUGCCAAGACAGGAUAUUAUCCCUAGAUUUGGGCUACUAUAUGCCUACUUGAGGUAGCAGGAAGACUCAUCCCCAUAUGGGGUGGAGGGUGAUGGACAAUGAAAAUAAACGCCAGGACUUUUAAAAAGAAAAGUAUUGUCUCCUCACCCUCAUCCCUGACACCUUGUACCUCUAAACCAUAACUAUUGACAUUUAUAGGAAGACUGUGAAUGAGAGGGCUCCACCCUUUGGGAGGAAUGUAAACCCCACCUUCCACUGGUGUUCAGCUUGGCCCACUGACUUGUUUUGUCCAAUGGAAUGCCAGCAGAAGUAAGGUAGGCCAUGUAUGAGAGUUUAAAAAGCCGUCCUUGAAUACAUCAUUGCUUCUUUCCCAUGCUUUGAAGUAUGCAUGUCUCAGAUGUGGGCUGGCCACUACUUCAGCCUGGAUCUCAGCUAAUAAAGGUAAGAAAUAAACCCUUGUACUCA